rnacentral:rRNA from 1 species
GGAUGCGAUCAUACCAGCACUAAAGCACCGGAUCCCAUCAGAACUCCGAAGAUAAGCGUGCUUGGGCGAGAGUAGUACUAGGAGGUCAGUAGUACUAGGAUGGGUGACCUCCUGGGAAGUCCUCGUGUUGCAUUCC